UGCAAGUCGAACGGCGUCCCUCGGGGCGCAGUGGCGCACGGGUGCGUAACGCGUAUGCAACCUACCUUGAACUGGGGGAUAGCCCGGAGAAAUCCGGAUUAAUACCGCAUAACACCAUGUGAGGGCAUCUGAGUAUGGUUAAAGAUUCAUUGGUUCAAGAUGGGCAUGCGUGCCAUUAGCUAGUUGGUGGUGUAACGGACCACCAAGGCUACGAUGGCUAGGGGUUCUGAGAGGACGGUCCCCCACACUGGCACUGAGAUACGGGCCAGACUCCUACGGGAGGCAGCAGUAGGGAAUAUUGGGCAAUGGGCGGAAGCCUGACCCAGCCAUGCCGCGUGCAGGAUGAAGGCCUUCUGGGUUGUAAACUGCUUUUAUCAGGGAAGAAAACACCCAUGCGUGGGGAACUGACGGUACCUGAGGAAUAAGCACCGGCUAACUCCGUGCCAGCAGCCGCGGUAAUACGGAGGGUGCAAGCGUUGUCCGGAUUUAUUGGGUUUAAAGGGUGCGUAGGCGGCCCAUUAAGUCAGUGGUGAAAGCCCGGGGCUCAACCCCGGAACCGCCAUUGAUACUGGUGGGCUUGAGUAUGGACGAGGUUGGCGGAAUUGAGGGUGUAGCGGUGAAAUGCUUAGAUACCCUCAAGAACACCGAUUGCGUAGGCAGCUAACUAGGCCAUAACUGACGCUGAGGCACGAAAGCGUGGGGAGCGAACAGGAUUAGAUACCCUGGUAGUCCACGCCGUAAACGAUGAUUACUCGAUGUCGGCGACA
rnacentral:rRNA from 1 species